rnacentral:rRNA from 1 species
GACGAACGCUGGCGGCGUGCCUAAUACAUGCAAGUAGAACGCUGAAGGAGGAGCUUGCUUCUCCGGAUGAGUUGCGAACGGGUGAGUAACGCGUAGGUAACCUGCCUGGUAGCGGGGGAUAACUAUUGGAAACGAUAGCUAAUACCGCAUAACAGUAGAUAUUGCAUGAUAUCUGCUUGAAAGGUGCAAUUGCAUCACUACCAGAUGGACCUGCGUUGUAUUAGCUAGUUGGUGAGGUAACGGCUCACCAAGGCGACGAUACAUAGCCGACCUGAGAGGGUGAUCGGCCACACUGGGACUGAGACACGGCCCAGACUCCUACGGGAGGCAGCAGUAGGGAAUCUUCGGCAAUGGACGGAAGUCUGACCGAGCAACGCCGCGUGAGUGAAGAAGGUUUUCGGAUCGUAGAGCUCUGUUGUAAGAGAAGAACGAGUGUGAGAGUGGAAAGUUCACAC